rnacentral:rRNA from 1 species
GACGAACGCUGGCGGCGUGCUUAACACAUGCAAGUCGAACGGAAAGGCCCUGCUUGCAGGGUGCUCGAGUGGCGAACGGGUGAGUAACACGUGGGUGAUCUGCCCCUUACUUUGGGAUAAGCCUGGGAAACUGGGUCUAAUACUGGAUAGGACCAUGCUGUAGGUGGUGUGGUGGAAAGAUUAGUUUCGGUAAGGGAUGAGCUCGCGGCCUAUCAGCUUGUUGGUGGGGUAAUGGCCUACCAAGGCGUCGACGGGUAGCCGGCCUGAGAGGGUGGACGGCCACAUUGGGACUGAGAUACGGCGCAGACUCCUACGGGAGGCAGCAGUGGGGAAUAUUGCACAAUGGGCGAAAGCCUGAUGCAGCGACGCCGCGUGGGGGAUGACGGCCUUCGGGUUGUAAACUCCUUUCAGCCAUGACGAAGCCCUUGUGGUGACGGUAGUGGUAGAAGAAGCACCGGCUAACUACGUG